AUUGAACGCUGGCGGCAUGCCUUACACAUGCAAGUCGAACGGUAACAGGUCUUCGGAUGCUGACGAGUGGCGAACGGGUGAGUAAUACAUCGGAACGUGCCCGAUCGUGGGGGAUAACGAAGCGAAAGCUUUGCUAAUACCGCAUACGAUCUACGGAUGAAAGCAGGGGACCGCAAGGCCUUGCGCGAACGGAGCGGCCGAUGGCAGAUUAGGUAGGUGGUGGGAUAAAAGCUUACCAAGCCGACGAUCUGUAGCUGGUCUGAGAGGACGACCAGCCACACCGGGACUGAGACACGGCCCAGAAUCCUACGGGAGGCAGCAGUGGGGAAUUUUGGACAAUGGGCGAAAGCCUGAUCCAGCCAUGCCGCGUGCAGGAUGAAGGCCUUCGGGUUGUAAACUGCUUUUGUACGGAACGAAAAGACUCUGGUUAAUACCUGGGGUCCAUGACGGUACCGUAAGAAUAAGCACCGGCUAACUACGUGCCAGCCGCCGCCUAACAC
rnacentral:rRNA from 1 species